UACGGAGGGGACUAGCGUUGUUCGGAAUUACUGGGCGUAAAGCGCACGUAGGCGGAUUUGUAAGUCAGGGGUGAAAUCCCGGGGCUCAACCCCGGAACUGCCUUUGAUACUGCGAAUCUCGAGUCCGGAAGAGGUGAGUGGAAUUCCUAGUGUAGAGGUGAAAUUCGUAGAUAUUAGGAAGAACACCAGUGGCGAAGGCGGCUCACUGGUCCGGUACUGACGCUGAGGUGCGAAAGCGUUGGGAGCAAACAGG
rnacentral:rRNA from 1 species